AUCUUGGAAGUCAAAACGACUCUCG
rnacentral:rRNA from 1 species